rnacentral:rRNA from 1 species
UACGUAGGGCGCGAGCGUUGUCCGGAAUUAUUGGGCGUAAAGAGCUCGUAGGCGGCCUGUUGCGUCCGCUGUGAAAUCCCCGGGCUCAACCUGGGAAUGGCAUUCGGGACUGCAAGGCUGGAGUGCGGCAGAGGAGACUGGAAUUCCUGGUGUAGCAGUGAAAUGCGUAGAUAUCAGGAGGAAUACCGAUGGCGAAGGCAGGUCUCUGGGCUGACACUGACGCUCAUGCACGAAAGCGUGGGGAGCAAACAGG